GACGAACGCUGGCGGCGUGCUUAACACAUGCAAGUCGAACGGUGACGGAGAGCUUGCUCUCCUGAUCAGUGGCGAACGGGUGAGUAACACGUGGGCAACCUGCCCAGACUUCGGGAUAACGCUUCGAAGGAGGUGCUAAUACCGGAUACGAACUCCUUGGGCAUCCUUGGAGUUGGAAAGUUUUUCGGUCUGGGAUGGGCCCGCGGCCUAUCAGCUUGUGGUGAGGUAACGGCUCACCAAGGCGACGACGGGUAGCCGGCCUGAGAGGGCGACCGGCCACACUGGGACUGAGACACGGCCCAGACUCCUACGGGAGCAGCAGUGGGGAAUAUUGCGCAAUGGGCAAAGCCUGACGCAGCAACGCCGCGUGAGGGAUGACGGCC
rnacentral:rRNA from 1 species